rnacentral:rRNA from 1 species
GGUGCUCGUCUUAAUAUAAGCCUGCAUGUCUAAGUAUAAGCUUUUAUACGGCGAAACUGCGAAUGGCUCAUUAAAACAGUUAUAGUUUAUUUGAUAGUCGAUUUUUACUACAUGGAUAACCGUGGUAAUUCUAUGGCUAAUACAUGCGCAAAUACUGUAUAAUCAUAUUUAUUAUGAUUGUACAGUAGUGUUUAUUAGAUACAGAACCAACAGUGCGCCAUCACUUUUUAGUGGUGGUGUCAAAAGAGAAGGUGAUUCAUAGUAACUGAACGGAUCGCAUCAUAUUAUAAUCAUUUCGGUGAUUGGCGAUAGAUCAUUCAAGUUUCUGACCUAUCAGCUUUCGACGGUAGUGUAUUGGACUACCGUGGCAGUGACGGGUAACGGGGAAUUAGGGUUCGAUUCCGGAGAGGGAGCCUGAGAAACGGCUACCACAUCUAAGGAAGGCAGCAGGCGCGCAAAUUACCCAAUCCUGACUCAGGGAGGUAGUGACAAGAAAUAACAACACUGGAAAUUGUAUUUCUAGUGAUUGGAAUGAUGGGAAUCCAAACCCCUUUCAGAGUAACAAUUGGAGGGCAAGUCUGGUGCCAGCAGCCGCGGUAAUUCCAGCUCCAAUAGCGUAUAUUAAAGUUGUUGCAGUUAAAAAGCUCGUAGUUGGAUAUCUGCUGGAAGCAAUCAGUCCGCCCUUUUCGUAAGGGUGUGCACUUGAUGAAUUCUGGCAUGAUUUCAUCCUAAUAAUAAUAUAUUAUUAUAUUAGGUUGAUUCCUAGUAUAAUAAUAUUUAUUAUUAUGGGGAUGACAGUUACUUUGAGAAAAUUAGAGUGUUUGAAGCAGGCUUUUGUUGCCUUGAAUACUGCAGCAUGGAAUAACAAUAUAGGAUUUCGGUUCUAUUAUUUUGUUGGUUUUUUCUGUAGGACUGAAAUAAUGAUUAAUAGGGACAGUUGGGGGCAUCCGAUUUACCUGUC